GCCAAACGAAGCAAGCCUCGACACAGUGCUUCUGAACCAGUGUGUUGUUUUUUUCGACACACGCUCCGGAGCGUCAGCUUCAAGCGGGCCAUCACUAGUAGAAAGUGUGUAAUGAACCGCUGAUCUGUACCAUAAGUCAUCCUUGCGGGGGUUGUCGGAACUGUAUGCGCAGUCGCACUAAGGACAGAUGUGCUCAGAGGCAUGCCCCGUAACGUGUAUGAGAGGUCUGUCGUGCGGCAGGAAUAAGUUGUACAAAGUCCAUCUUAGACAUGUGUGUCAUGCAAGCUAGCAGCAUCCCAUGAGAAACGGGCCGAAGUGUUUAAGUGUUCACCGGAGUUUGCACCCUUGGCAAGCGGACUGAGUUUUCACGGUGCUCAAUGUCCAGAGAAUGAGGCGUGUGUGGUGAGGAAAUAAAUGGCUGCACCCGUUAGAGACUCUUCUGUCAUUCUUGAUGCCAAGGGCUGCUACAAAACGGUGUGGGGAGCUACAGCCCCCGUCCCCCAGUGCAUGAAGCAGGCAUGGAGAAGAUCCAGGCCCCAGAGUGCGAGAGCCCAAGGACGAUCAUCGGAGGGGCAAAACCGUGCCACCCUCCUGGGAAGAGCUGAGGAGAGCCCCAGACAAGGGGUCACCCGGCAGGGAGUGUGGUGAGGGGAGAUAGGCCUCCAUACCUUGGAGGGCCUGAGAUGUACCCAGACAGAGAGGUGGAGUCUAAGACCCAACCUGACAUAUAGACAGACGAACAGGCA
ensembl:lncRNA